UGGGGAAUAUUGCACAAUGGGGGAAACCCUGAUGCAGCGACGCCGCGUGAACGAAGAAGGUAUUCGUAUCGUAAAGUUCUGUCCUAUGGGAAGAUAACGACAGUACCAUAGAAGAAAGCUCCGGCUAAAUACGUGCCAGCAGCCGCGGUAAUACGUAUGGAGCGAGCGUUGUCCGGAAUUAUUGGGCGUAAAGGGUACGCAGGCGGUUUAAUAAGUCGAAUGUUAAAGAUCGGGGCUCAACCCCGUAAAGCAUUGGAAACUGAUAAACUUGAGUAGUGGAGAGGAAAGUGGAAUUCCUAGUGUAGUGGUGAAAUACGUAGAUAUUAGGCGGGAUACCAGUAGCGAAGGCGACUUUCUGGACACAAACUGACGCUGAGGUACGAAAGCGUAGGGGGCAAACAGG
rnacentral:rRNA from 1 species